rnacentral:rRNA from 1 species
GACGAAGGAUGCAAGCGUUAUCCGGAUUCAUUGGGGUUAAAGGGUGCGUAGGCGGCCAGAUAAGUCAGUGGUGAAAUCCUGUUGCUUAACAACAGAACUGCCAUUGAUACUGUUUGGCUUGAGUAUAGUUGCUGUGGGCGGAAUAUGACAUGUAGUGGUGAAAUACAUAGAGAUGUCAUAGAACACCGAUUGCGAAGGCAGCGCACAAAACUAUAACUGACGCUGAGGCACGAAAGUGCGGGGAUCAAACAGG